AAUGAUUACCCUGAACGGUGGAUCACUUGGCUCGUGGUGAUCAGCAUCGCACGCCGUCGA
rnacentral:rRNA from 1 species